rnacentral:rRNA from 1 species
CCUACGGGGGGCAGCAGUGGGGGAUAUUGCACAAUGGGGGAAACCCUGAUGCAGCGACGCCGCGUGAGUGAAGAAGUAUUUCGGUACGUAAAGCUCUAUCAGCAGGGAAGAAAAUGACGGUACCUGACUAAGAAGCCCCGGCUAACUACGUGCCAGCAGCCGCGGUAAUACGUAGGGGGCAAGCGUUAUCCGGAUUUACUGGGUGCAAAGGGAGCGUAGACGGCGCGGCAAGUCUGAAGUGAAAGGCAGGGGCUUAACCCCUGAACUGCUUUGGAAACUGCCAUGCUAGAGUGCUGGAGAGGUAA